rnacentral:lncRNA from 1 species
AGCGCGGGUGCUGUGGUGGUUUGCUGCACCUAUUAACCCAUCCUGUUUUGCCUGGCAUUCUGCAGAAGCAUUGCUGUAUCUUACCAGACAGGAAUACAGGCAAUGCUGUGAAGCGUCAGAGGGAAUUCCGUUGGUUACUUUCCCAUACGGUCUUGUUCAGCUGCUUGUUCUCAGAAAAGUGUGUUUGUUGGUGGAGGAGAAUGCGACCAAGGAGACCAUCCUUUUCAUGAAGGCACAAACGUGAAUACAUAUGUGACUUUUAAGCCUUUAAAUAAAAACCCA